GUGGGGAAUAUUGCACAAUGGGCGCAAGCCUGAUGCAGCAACGCCGCGUGAGUGAUGAAGGCCUUCGGGUCGUAAAGCUCUGUCCUAUGGGAAGAAAAAAAUGACGGUACCAUAGGAGGAAGCCCCGGCUAACUACGUGCCAGCAGCCGCGGUAAUACGUAGGGGGCAAGCGUUAUCCGGAAUCACUGGGCGUAAAGGGUGCGUAGGUGGUUCUUCAAGUCAGAAGUGAAAGGCAAUGGCUUAACCAUUGUAAGCUUUUGAAACUGAGGAACUUGAGUGCAGGAGAGGUAAGUGGAAUUCCUAGUGUAGCGGUGAAAUGCGUAGAUAUUAGGAGGAACACCAGUGGCGAAGGCGACUUACUGGACUGUAACUGACACUGAGGCACGAAAGCGUGGGGAGCGAACAGGAUUAGAUACCCCAGUAGUCC
rnacentral:rRNA from 1 species